rnacentral:lncRNA from 1 species
GGGGAUGCAUCGCGGCAUCACUAGGAACAACCAUGAGUGUCAUGCUCUUUGGCAGGCUCCUGCAUGGCUUCACCUGGACCAAACCGGCUGGGGUGUCAGCCAUCAAUCUCAGCGAGUCCAAGCACGACCUCUUCAUAGAGAAGCCGCUAGUGCUACAUGCUGAGCCACGUCUUCCAGUGCACCUCUACCCUCUCAUGCAUUGUUGAGCAAAUAACGAGCUAUGAAUCACCGAUAUGGCGAGUAUGCUAGCUAUUUUUUGAUGAAUCUAUAUUUACUAAUAAAGGAAGGAAAUAUUCUUUUUUCGUCCCGCUUUGUUUCGUUCCACUUCGAUUGAUUUUUCACGUAUGCUAGCUAUUCUGGUUUUGUCUGUUUCACGUACGAGCGAGCCGGUUUCUUUCAUGCGCCGAUGGAUUGUCCUAGGCUUGUCCAAAGCAUUGGAACAGUACGUGAUAGGCAAACAACCACCCAUCUAGUAUUAAUUUUGGACAAAUAGAGAUUAAAUGUAUACAAGAUGAUGCUCUUUAUAUCACCAACGAAUGAUGAAAGUAGGUCGGCGCAUAUAGGGCAACUCCAUUUGAGUUGUUUCUUCCGGCCCAAGUCCCAGGCGGGGCAGCAUAACAGCCUAAUAGUCUUUCUAAUUUGGUUCAUCAAUUAAAUAGUACCACAUAGUUUUCUUACUUUUAAUCCUACAAGUUUAUAUACGCUAGCAAAUUGCCAUGGGAAUCAAUAAGCAGCCUAAAAACAUUAGAAAACUCAGAGAGUGAGGUAUGCAAUGAGGACGCACAUUUUGAGGAUGAUCAGAUCUGAGAUUAUGGGCCAAUGAAAGCAAUACAAACACGAUUAAAGAUCUGUGAUUAUGGGCCAAUGGAACUAGUGAAAACCCAACUAAAUAUCUGAGAUCGUAGGCCAAUGAAAGAAAUGAAGACCCGAUUAAAGAUUCAAGACUAUUAUGGGCCAAUGGAAGAAAUAAAGACGUGAUUAAACUUGCAAACUCAUGCCGAUGUGCAUGGUGCAUAAUUAAAGGACUCGUGGGCUAAAUCAUUAUAAUUUACACCAAAGGCGAGAAGCAGAUGGGUGGGGUAGACUGAGGAGGCAUUUAAGGAUGAGGAGGAACUCGCAAUUUCCACACUUGACGCAUACGACCAGCUCGUCGCCACACUCACGAAACAUGAAAUCAUGGGUGAUGACACGCCGAGGUGUCCACCAAAGCCCGUGCCACCAGAGAGCUACCUCUCUCUCUAGGGAUCUUGUAUUUCUUGCAAUUAAUUUUGAUGAUAAAGACUAAUGUUUGCCCCGCGUUGCAACACACGGGCAUAUGUGCUAGUAAAUCAAAAGAAAAAAGAAAACUGAAAUAAAAAUCAAAAAUAAAAACCUCAAGGAAAAAACAACAAAAAGCCCAAGAAAUACAGGAAUGGAAUCAAACCAUGGAAGAAAAAACCAGAAAAUCAGCACAACAAAAGUUGAACCAAAUACAACGAAAGCAACAGAAUAAAAAGGGAGCAACUAGUUGACGAGGGCUCCUUCGGGAACCUCGCAACGAUCAGCGCCACUUGGCACGCUCUCAGCCGCCCCGCCACAUGUCGCGCUCUGGACGCUCCCUUCGUAUUUUAAUUCUUUUCGCAUGCGUUUUCGGCUUUUUAAAUGGUUUAUUUGGGGUUUUUUCGACGUUUUGGUUUUCCACAGCUUUUAGGCCAAAAAAUUCCAAAUUGCGUGAAAAAGCGCGCUUAUUUUUCUUCCGCGAAAGGCACGGUUGUGCUUCCGCGAGAGGCACGGUUUUGCUUCCGCGAGAGGCACGGUUGUGCUUUCGUGAGAGGCACGGUUUUCCUUCCACGAGAGGCACGGUUGUGCUUUCGCGAGAGGCACGGCCAUGCCUCUCGAAAAUGAAAAAAACGCGUUUUCUAUUUUUUUUGCUUCCGCGGGAGGCACGAUUUUGCUUCCGCGAGAGACACAGUUGUGAUUUUGCGAGAGGCGCGGCCGUGCCUCUUUCGAAAAGGAAAAAUGCAUUUUUUUUGUUUUUUUCCUUCCGUUAGAGGCACGGUUUUGCUUCCGCGAGAGGCACGGUUGUGAUUCCGCUAGAGGCACGACCAUGCCUCUUUCGAAAAGGGAAAAAACCGUGCUCCUAGUUCGGUUUUUUCGUCCAGUUUUUUCAUGAAAAAAAAGUUCGUUAAAACCUAUCAACAUGGUAUCUAGUUUUUAAGAUCUCGACACGAGGAAUCGAACGGUGAAAAUGGUUCGAGAUUUGGACGCAUGAUUUAAGAGAUAAAAUGUUUUGAAUAAACGGAUCUACGAAAAAAGAGAAAACUCACAUGCUGUGACAAAUGAUGCGUGCCAUUUGUCACAACCUGAGAAGGCGGUUGACACGAUAAACUCAAUUGGCAUUAAUGAUAGAGAUAGGGUAAGUGUCAUGUCUUUAUGUUCCUUCCAUGUUCAUGCUUCUUUUUUGGUGUUUCAAGUGCUAACUUGUUCUUUUGUUUGUAGGUCACUAUUGCAUAAAACUUAUUUCAAGGAGAAGAGAAGAAGACCAAGAAAGGGAGACCAUUUGUGUUGGCCCGUUGCUACAAUGUGUUGAAGGAUGAAGAGAAAUGGAAGCCCCGUGAUGACCAAGAGGAGAGCAAGAAAAGCAAGGAAACUAUUGAUUUGGAUGAUGAUGAGGGGAGGAGGAGGCAUCAAGUGAUGGCGGCAAGAGAAGCCCUACACCAAACUCGGUUGCCUACUCCAAACCAAAGAGACCAAAUGGAGGCAAGAAAGAUGAAGAAGAAGAAGAAUAAGAAUAAGAAGAAGAAGAAGAAGAAGAAGAAGAAGAAGAAGAGAGGAGGUGAUGAUUUAAAGAAUGCUAUGGAAGCUAUUGUGAAGGCACGAAAGGAAGCAAACGAGGUGAGGAUGAUGACAAGGAGCCAAGAUACAGAGGCCGAGGAGAGGAGGGUGGCUGUCGAGGAGAGGAGGGUGGCAUUGGAGGAGAAGAAAUUGGCCAUGAAGGAGCGAUCUAGAUUAUUGAAAUGGGAGAAGCACUUGUUCUUCAUGGACACAUCUAAACUCGAUGAUAGGCAAAAGGAGUACGUCAUUCUUUCCCCUGAAGAAGUCGUAGUACAAAAAAGAGACAUGGACAUGGAAGGCAUGGGAGCUACCAAUGGGAGGCAUGGGUGGCUUCGGAGCUACCAUGGGAGGCAUGGGAGCACCUACGGGAGGCAUGGGUGGCUUCGGAGCUACCAUGGGCGGCUGGGAGGCAUGGGUGGCUUCAAAGCUACCAUGGGAGGCAUGAGUUUUGGGUCUCUCAUGGGAGGCAUGGAAGCAACUCUGGGUGACAUAGGUGGACGCAUGUCUUCCUGUGUGCCUCACAUACCUUCUCAUUAUCCCGUUGGAGAUCUUACGAACACCAUCCGAGCUCCCGAUGAUGAUGCGGCGCUUGAAAAUGAAGAGGAGGAGGAAGAAUCGUUUUCGGAUGAGUAGGAAUAAUCGGAGGAAGAAGAGGACGAUGAUGAGUGAUGUGGCAUGAUUGUUGAUGUGCCAUUUGUUUGUGCAAACUUUUAAUUGUCAUGAACUUGGUUGGGUGAUUUUGAACUAUGCCGUGCAAGUGAACUAUGCUAUGUCUUUGUUUUGCACAUUUGUUUAAUGUUUGAAACAUCAUCAUAUUGUCAAAUGGACAUGUGAAAAUCAUAUUUGCAAGCGCCGGCUGCUCGUGCGCUCUGUAAAUUAGCGCGCCUUUUGAAGCUGCUCGCGCGUGCCAUAUUUUACUGCAGCUGCUGGAGCCAGCGCCCUGCUUCACGCAAAAAAACACUAUUUUAACGUUGUAAAAAAAAUUUUGCGCGGCGUGCGGUUGCGCACCUGUUAGAGAUGCUCUUAGAAUCGUGUUUUUACGGCGCCUAUGUGAUGCCCUAUUUUGCAAGAACUUGGUGUUGCGGUCGCCCCUCUAGCCGCUGCAUCACUUCUUCCCUAAGGAAGAGCUCAUGCAGGUCUUUUUCAAGCCACACCGAACCGAAGUCAGUAGGUACGUACCCAGUUCUGCAUGUGCUUGGACACAUCUUUUAACCUGCUACAAGGAGGCCCAUGAGCCCACUGUUCCUUGCGUCGUGCAUGCAUGUCCCAUGCAUGAUGUAGCAGCGGGAUCCAAUACAGCGCGUAGGUCGCCCGCUAGCAACAUAGCACGCACCCCCCCUCCCCUGGCCGGGCUCCCCGUUCAGCGUAUCUGCCGGCCUGUUUUGCGGUUUAUUUUGCCACCGGUUUUCAGAAGGUUCUAGAACCCUCCCAGAACCAUUUUUUUUUUGUUUUUUAUGUUUUCUAUACUGGUUUUUCGUUUUUCUUUUCUUUUAAAUUUUUUCUUUCUUUUCUUAUUGUUUCUUUCAUUUUUCAUUUUUUUUUCUUUUUCUUUUUAUUUUCUAUUUUCUUCCCCUUCACUUUUUGACUAUUUUUUGCAAUUUUUAUUUUUGAAUUCGUUAACACCUUUUUUUCAUCGAAUUCUAAAAAUGUUCAACCACGUAAAAAAAUGUUCAACAAUCUAGAAAAUGUUCAUCGAAUUCAAUUUUUUUCAUCAAAUUUAAAAAAUGUUCAUAAAAGUUCAAAAUUUGUUCAUCGAACUAAAAAAAUGUUCAUCGGAUUCUUUUUUUGUUCAUUGUUUGCGAAAAAUGUUCAUCACAUUCAAAAUUUGUUCACUGAAUUACAAAUCUGUUCAUCAAAUUCAAAUUUUGUUCAUAAUUUUUUCAAAAACUGUUCUUCAAUACAAAUUUUGUUCAUCAAAUUAUUUUUUUUAUAAAAUGCCAAAUUUGUUUAUGGAUGUUCAAAAUAUGUUCAUCAAAUUCAAAAAAAUGUACAUUCCUUUGAAAUAACAAACAUUUUUUGAAUUCAAGAAUUUUUUGGAAUUUGGUGAACAUUUUUUAAUUCCGUCAGCAUUUAUCAUUUCGCGAACAUUUUUUUCAAAUCAUCAACAAUUUUCGAAUUCACCAACAUUUCACAAGUUGUAACUAUAUCGAAAUCCCGAAUUAGCCUUACAAUGGAAAACAAUUUAGAAAAGCAAAAAAAAAAAGAUGCUUCCGCUUUCCCUACCCACACAUGGGCCAGCCCAUGAGUCGGCGCGGGGGAGCGGGGGUUACGCGCUUCGUCGUUCGCUGGCGCGUACAACGCUAAAUGGGAGGUCUCGAUGUAGCAUCUCAUUGAAUCCCGGAUGCAUGGUCCGACCAUCUCUUCAAACCGAAAGCUGCUCAUAUGGUCCAUCAUCCUGGCGUCUGAAAUACUUUUGGAAAGACAAUUAUGGUUAGUUUUCGGAUAAGUACUCUCGAUAAUCUACAAAUAGGAGAUGUUUUAUUAUAUUUUGAUUACUUUUGGAUAGACAAUCAUUACUAUUAAUAUCAUCCUUCGUAUCUAGAUAAAGUAAGACAAUCUAUAAAUAGAAGAUUUUUUGUUCUGUUUUGAUUAAGUUUGGAUAGACAAUUAUUAUUAUUAGUAUUAGCCUUCGUAUCUAGAUAAAUAUAAGGCAAUCUAUAAAUAGAAGUUUUUUAUUCUGUUUUGACUACGUUUGGAUAAACAAUUAUUAUUAUUAGUAUCAUCCUUCGUAUCUAAAUAAAUAUAAGACAAUCUACAAACAGAAGAAUUUUCAUUCUGUAGACAAUUAUUAUUAUUAGUUCAGGAUAAAUACAUUUGAAAUGCCAUGUGAUAAAUGUGGUAAACGAUCGAUCCACACAUGAGGAAUAUAUCUGGACAUGUUUUAGUGUUAGAUACGUAAAUACCUUCGUAUUUAAUAAAUCUAAGCCAAUUUUUUGGGACGGAGGUAACAUAUAAAGAGGGGUCUCGCCCUCAUGGGCAGAGCAGCACGGAGAGCAAAGUUGGCUUCCCUAUGCAACAAUAACAAGGGUAGCUACCUCGCAAACCUGUGUGCACUCUGCAAGCAGUAGUCUCCACAAUGCUGGUUUGCUGUUGCUUUGUUGUGUCCCAGCUGCUCAUCGUAAUAACACUCAUAUACCUUGCCAUUACCAAGAGCAAGGUACGCUGUGGCACGUGCUCAUCGGCGACGGUGUCGCUUCCACUUCCGCCGGGGCCAUGGCCGUGGCCAGUGGUGGGUAGCCUGCCCGAGAUGGUGGUCAACAAGCCGGCGUUUCGAUGGAUCCAUCGCGUGAUGAAGGAUAUGGGCACCGACAUCGCCUGCUUCCGCCUCGGCGGCGUCCACGUCGUCCCGAUCACAUGUCCCAAGAUCGCAAGGGAGGUGCUCAAGAAGCAGGACAAAAACUUCUCGUCCCGCCCACUCACCUUCGCCUCCGGCGCCAUCAGCAGCGGGUACAAGGACGCCGUGCUCUCACCGUUCGGUGACCAGUGGAUGAAGAUGCGCAAGGUGCUCACCUCUGAGAUCAUCUGCCCCUCCCGUCACAAGUGGCUCCACGACAAGCGCGCCGACGAAGCUGACAACUUGACGCGCUACAUCUACAACCUCACCGCCCGGGGGUUGUCAUCUUCAACGUCGGGACUAGCCAACGUCAACGUCAGGCACGUCGCGCGGCAUUACUGCGGCAACGUCAUCCGCCGGCUUGUCUUCGGCCAACGGUACUUCGGGGAGCCUCAGCCGGACGGCGGGCCGGGGCCGAUGGAGGUGGAGCACAUGGACGCUUCCUUCGCCCUCCUAGGGUUCACCUUCGCGUUCUGCGUCAGCGACUACCUCCCGUGUCUACUUGGCCUAGAUCUCGACGGUCACGAGAAAAUUAUUAAGGAGACCAACACAAAAGUGGAUAGACUGCACGACGUGGUCAUCGAAGAGCGUUGGAGGUAGUGGAAUAGCGGCGAGAGGCAGGACGGGGUCCAGGACUUCCUUGACGUUCUCAUCACGCUCGCCGACGGUGACGGCAAGCCGUUGCUCAACAUCAAUGAGGUCAAAGCACAGUCCAAGGUAAGCAAAAUAUUAAUUAAUGAGAAAUUUUAAGAUGGCUCAAGGGCCUAGAUUGAAUUUAGUGACCAAUUGCCUCAUAGUCCUACAAAGUACUAAUACGUCAUCCAUGAGAAAAGGUAAUAGCUCACACUAUUAAAUACUAGAUCUUAUACCGUAUUUCGCAGGUGUUAGAAAAUGGAAACAAUAGAAUAUGAAAUUAUGAAUUAAUAGUUUAAACAUAGCAUUAUUGUAAUUUUCUACCAUUUUGAUGUGAUUUCAACUUAAAUUGUAUUUAAAUUUCCAAUUAUUCAAUGUAAUCUCUCUUUAUGCAAAGGUAUAAAUUGUAAUAACUUACAUUUAUCGCCAUGGAAUGCAUGCAGGGCAUAAUAUUAGCGUCCAUAGAUAACCCGUCAAACGCAGUGGAGUGGGCGCUGGCGGAGAUGGUGAACAACCCAGAAUUGCUGGCCAAGGCGGUGGAGGAGAUGGACCGGGUGGUCGGUCGCGAGCGACCGGUGCAAGAGUCGGACAUCAUGCAGCUCAACUAUCUCAAGGCGUGCAUACGUGAGGCAUUUCGCCUCCACCCAAUCGCUCCCUUCAACCUGCCGCACGUCGCGAUUGUCGACACCAUUGUUGCGGGCUACCGCGUGCCCAAGGGUAGCAACGUCAUCCUCAGCCGGCUGGCCCUGGGCCGGAACCCCACUGUCUGGGAUGAACCGCUCCGCUUCAAGCCGGAGCGCCAUAUGGGAGACAACAUCAAUGUGGUGCUUACUGAGAGCGAAUUGCGGUUCAUCUCCUUCAGCACCGGACGACGGGGAUGCAUCGCGACAUCACUAGGAACAACCAUGAGUGUCAUGCUCUUUGGCAGGCUCCUGCAUGGCUUCACCUGGACCAAACCGGCUGGGGUGUCGGCCAUCAAUCUCAGCGAGUCCAAGCACGACCUCUUCAUAGAGAAGCCGUUAGUGCUACAUGCUGAGCCACGUCUUCCAGUGCACCUCUACCCUCUCAUGCAUUAUUGAGCAAAUAACGAGCUACGAAUCACCGAUAUGGCGAGUAUGCUAGCUAUUUUUUUUGAUGAAUCUAUAUUUACUAAUAAAGGAAGGAAAUAUUCUUUUUUU